rnacentral:lncRNA from 1 species
GAGGACCGUAUUCAUGGAAGAGGAUCGAACAGAGUUUUUAGGUGUGCUGUCAACCUACUCCAGUAUCCUCUUUCCAAUUUCGAUUCAGAGGCAUUCAGAGUAAAGAGCCCAGCAUUUGAUAAAAAUGAGAAUAUAUCGCCUCAAGCAGAAGCAGAUGAAGAUAUGGGAGAUGAAGUAGACAGUAUGUUGGAUAAAUCUGAAGUAAACAACCCAGCAAUUGGUAAAGAUGAAAAUAUAUCGCCUCAAGUAAAAGGACAUGAAGACAGGGGACAUGAAAUAGGCAGUAUGUUGGAUAAAUCUGGAGGUCUCUGCUAAGAAAAACUGAGAACUUCACUAUGACAUUUAUAAGACGCUUCACAUAAAGAGAAAAUGGAUGGAAACUUAUGUCAAAGAAUCUUUCAAAGGCAGGAACCAGAAAUUAGAAAGAUUUUGCAAAAUGAACGAACGAGAGAGGAAGAACAUCAACAACAAAUUUUGUGAGCAGUAUAUAACUACAUUUCAGAAGUCUUAUAUGGAUGUACAGAAAUUCAAUGAGGAAAAAGAAAAAUCAGUGAAUAGUUGUCAAAAAGAACAACAAGCAUUGAAACUGUCCAAAUGUAGUCAGAACCAGACCCUGGAAGCAGGUAAAGAAAUGCAUGAGAAGUCCAUGGAGCUGCAUCAUUGGACUCAAACUGAAUGGUCCAUGUGUUGCCACUGAUGUGAGCCAUU